ensembl:lncRNA
CAGAGGCAGGACCACCUAACCAUUGCUGCCCAGCCCCCCACCCUUCCCCCCUCUACACACACACACACACACACACACACACACACACACACACACACCCCUCCUCCACUCCCUCACACACACUCAUCAUCCUCUCCCUCCCUUCCUCGCUCGCAGACUUCACUUCACACUCCUCUCCUGCCUGAGGUCCCAGCAGUGUGUGUCUGCCCUUCAGCUCCAGCUCCAGCCCGCUCUUCGUCUCUCUCCUCCUCCUCGCUCAGCGUGUGUGUGCCAGACACCCAGAGAGUGUGUGUGACUAAGAGACAGCGCUCCGCAGAAGGCUUAUUUUCGGACCCAAACCGGCAGCAUCGUUUGGAGCCGCUGCCCCUGUCGCUGGUGAUCUGUGCCCUGAGUGCGGAGACCUUCAACAGACACACACACACAGACACACACACACACACGCGCGCGCUUUCACACAUUCGGGUCCAAGAUGAAAAUCCAGCUCCUACUCCUGCUGGCCCUGGCCGGACCCCUCUUCAGCGUUGCUAACGCAAGUACACUGGUGGUCCCCACGGCGGAGGAUCUGGCGGAGGUGACGGCGGCUCCUGCUGCUCCUGAGGCAACCGCCGCUCUCGAAGUCGCCGCCGAGGAACCCCGUCGCGCCCGAAGAGGAAGCUCCCGUUGCCACGGACGCGCCGGCCGAAGCCGAAGCCGCGCCCGCAGCCGAAGCCACUGAAGCCGCUCCGGAGGAAACCGCAGCCGUCGAAGAGGCGGCCGUCGAAGAGGCGGUGACGGAGGCCCCGGUCGCUGCUGAAGAGGCGGAGGUAGAAGUGGCCCCGGCCGAGGUCGCUCCUGAGGAACCGGUCGCCACCGACGCCCCCGUAGAACCCGCCGCAGAACCGGAGGCAGAACCGGAGGCGGAACCCGCAGCGGAACCCGAGCCUGAGCCAGCAGCAGAACCUGCGCCAGAGGAGCCUGCCGUAGAACCCGCCGCAGAACCCGCCGCAGAACCGGAAGCAGAACCGGAAGCAGCAGCAGCAGAGGAGGCACCUGAGGGGGAUGUGACGGUGGAGGAAGAAGGGAUGGGCUCAGGCCAGGUCGUGGGGAUUGUGAUUGGUGCUCUGAUUGCUGUGAUUGUGGUCAUCGUGAUCAUCGUGGUGGUUGUGCGGAGGAUGGGCCAGUACUCGUAAGUAUUUUCUGUCAGGUCAAAGUGACACUGGUGCUAUGUUGGGGGAGAAGAACUCAAAUUAGUUUAAAUGAUUAUAAAGUUACUUCAGACAAUUCAAUUCAAUUAAAUUUUAUUUAUAUAGCGCCAUAACAAUACAAUUGUCUCUAGGCGCUUUACAGAGCCCAGAGCCUGAACCCCCUUAGUGCAAGCACAAUGGCAACACGGGCAAGAAAAAACUCCCUGUUAGUCAGGAAGGAACCUUAAGCAGAACCACGGCACAUAAGGGGGGACCCCAUCUGCUUGACAACACUGCUCAUAGAAUAACUGAAUGGAUUUGUUAGAGAAUGUUUCGUCCACCUGAAUGUGCUUGUAAUGGUGUAAUGGUGUAAUGGUGUGAUGAUGUGAUGAUCUGAUGGUGUGAUGAUCUGAUGGUCUGAUGGGGGGGAUGGGGGUUGAUUGGGUUUGGCCGUAUGGCCGUAUGCAUCUCCACUGAUGACAUCACCCUGUAACGCCUGUCUGAGCUGCUGCAGAGAUGUUCUUAAAGGGGGAGAUGACAAUCCUAGCAGUUUAGUUUUCUACUGGCAAAAACGUAUCUUGGGUCACGUGCACCGUUAGAGUCUAGUUGUCAGGAGGCAAAACUGUUUUCACCAAAUAGGAGUUUGUUCAGGUUACUGAGUCAAAUAGAACGGAGUUUGUUCAGGGUACUGAGUCAAAUAGAACCGAGUUUGUUCAGGGUACUGAGUCAAAUAGAUCUGGCCUCCCCUCGGAAACCCCACGGCCAUUACGCAAUUCACCUGAAGAUUGGAAUCUCCCCUUAAAGAGCAUCUCUGGUUUCUAUGGCAAAGCUGGCCGUCAGGAGUGUGUGUGAGGCCUUCAGGAGUGUGUGUGAGGCCGUCAGGAGUGUGUGUGGGGCCGUCAGGAGUGUGUGUGUGGGGCCGUCAGGAGUGUGUGUGGGGCUGUAAGGAGUGUGUGUACGGGGCCGUCAGGAGUGUGUGUGAAGCUCUGGGAACCUGCAUCUUAUC